rnacentral:misc_RNA from 1 species
UUGAUUGGUCGAAAGACCUUAUCAGAUUCUACCACCUCUGUGAAACCGUUGACCUCCGGGUUAAUAAUCAAACAUCAGUGUAGCGAACGUAAGAGUAUCUUAAUUAAACA